UACGGGGGGGGUAAGCGUUGUUCGGAAUUACUGGGCGUAAAGCGAGUGUAGGCGGUCCGAAAAGUCAGGUGUGAAAGCCCUGGGCUCAACCCAGGAAGUGCACUUGAAACUGCAUAGCUAGAGUCCUGGAGAGGAAGGUGGAAUGCUUGGUGUAGAGGUGAAAUUCGUAGAUAUCAAGCGGAACACCGGUGGCGAAGGCGGCCUUCUGGACAGUGACUGACGCUGAGACGCGAAAGCGUGGUGAGCAAACAGG
rnacentral:rRNA from 1 species